AAUCUUCCGCAAUGGGCGAAAGCCUGACGGAGCAAUGCCGCGUGAGUGACGAAGGCCUUCGGGUUGUAAAACUCUGUCUUCAGGGACGAAAAAUGACGGUACCUGAGGAGGAAGCCACGGCUAACUACGUGCCAGCAGCCGCGGUAAUACGUAGGUGGCAAGCGUUGUCCGGAAUGACUGGGCGUAAAGGGCGUGUAGGUGGACUGAUCAGUCGGGUGUGAAAUAUCCGGGCUUAACCCGGGGGGUGCAUCCGAUACGGUUAGUCUUGAGUGCAGGAGAGGGCAGUGGAAUUCCCAGUGUAGCGGUGAAAUGCGUAGAUAUAGGAAGGAACAUCAGUGGCGAAGGCGACUACCUGGACUGAUACUGACACUGAGGUGCGAAAGCGUGGGGAGCAAACAGG
rnacentral:rRNA from 1 species